GGCUCUGGACUAAGCGGAGAAACAUUAUCUGAGGAUGGAAACCAAUGGACUGGUUUAGACAUAUAUGAUUAAAUGCUAAGUGAAACUGUCAGUUUUUUUUUGUGUGUAAAUUUGAUUUGCCUGUGCUAGAUCUUCAUUUGAUUAAUCUAAAUCUUGUUUGGAUAAUAGAUGUUGCGUUGGUGCGGGAUGUAGAAGGUGAUCUUUUGCUAACCGAUAUGUAUCAGGACUUGGGUUUCAUGGAUGGAGCUAUUAGUGGUGAUAUUAGCAUCUCAGUGGUGCAGGUCCUCUCAUAAUCCAAGACUGAGAUUGAAGGAAUUUUUUGGAUCACUAUAUCGGUGUUUACCCUGAAAGCAAUGACCAGGUUGAAUUGAUCCUAGGAUUUGCUAAUAUCAUUUGUAAAAGUAUUUCCUUUUAUUGACUCAAAUAUUGGAGGCACGGCUGAUCCUGAUUUAUGGGUUACAAUACUUGGUAAGAAUGGGUGGCUGAAGGGGAGUUUCCAAUUGCUGCAUUUUAUGGAGGGGAGGAGAUUUCUUGAUACAAAGACCUUGACUGUAGAAGAAGAAGAUAAAAAAAAAUCAAUAUUUACGGGUAUACACAAAUUAAAAGGUAAGAUAUACAAAGAAAAAUAAAAUUAUGUAGUGCACGCCAUAAAUAGGACGUCGGUCAAAAGGUGAAUAGAUUCCAAGUGGCAAGGAAAUUCUCUUCAUAAUAAUGAAACCACCAGCAUUGUUCCGCAACACUGGAAACCAAACAAUGGUCUUCUUAUGACCCAUGAUAUCUCAGUAGUCAGGUCUCAACCUUGAAGAAGCAGUUCCAUGCAUAUCUUUCUCAAAGAAUGAUACAUAUGUAAUGUCCGCAACCGGUGGAAAGAUAUCAUUAUUUAACAUGAUGACUUACAAGGUAACGACAAUAUUUGUGCCACCUCCACCAGCUUCAACAUACAUAGUAAAGUCAUCCAUUGUUGUUUUUGAGUAUGUUGAUGUUUUAUGGAGGCUUGAUAGGCGAUCUUCAAGAGAUUCUACAAGGACUGAUUUAUUUCCUUGUCAGGCUUCUCCCUAAAUCUAAGCCUCUUUAACAACUGCAGCAAUAGCAACUUGUAUUACAGUAAGCAACAAUGAAUUCCAAGUAACUACCACAACAACAGAUUCUAAUGCUUUGCCACAACAGCAACAACAGAUUCUAGUGCUACAAAGCCUAUUCUAAUACCACAGCAUCGAUAUCUGGUCACAUCAUCCUCCAACUGAACAUGCUUUAUGUAUUUGGAUUUCAAUAUAUCUGGUCACAUCAUCGUCCAACUGAACAGGCUUUAUGUAUUUGGAUUUCAAUGCGAGAGUUCUUUUUUCUUUUAAGUAACUUUGUAACAUCACCUCGGUGUGUGAUAUUGAAUUUAUAGAUAUUUCUAAAUGACAAUCGUUCAUAUGAUUUUUGUGAUGUCUUA